UACGUAGGGCGCAAGCGUUGUCCGGAAUUAUUGGGCGUAAAGAGCUCGUAGGCGGUUUGUCGCGUCUGCUGUGAAAACUCGGGGCUUAACCCCGGGCCUGCAGUGGGUACGGGCAGACUAGAGUGCGGUAGGGGAGACUGGAAUUCCUGGUGUAGCGGUGAAAUGCGCAGAUAUCAGGAGGAACACCGGUGGCGAAGGCGGGUCUCUGGGCCGAUACUGACGCUGAGGAGCGAAAGCGUGGGGAGCGAACAGG
rnacentral:rRNA from 1 species